GACGAACGCUGGCGGCGUGCUUAACACAUGCAAGUCGAACGGAAAGGCCCUGCUUUUGUGGGGUGCUCGAGUGGCGAACGGGUGAGUAACACGUGAGUAACCUGCCCUUGACUUUGGGGUAACUUCAGGAAACUGGGGCUAAUACCGGAUAGGAGCUCCUGCUGCAUGGUGGGGGGUGGAAAGUUUCGGCGGUUGGGGAUGGACUCGCGGCUUAUCAGCUUGUUGGUGGGGUAGUGGCUUACCAAGGCUUUGACGGGUAGCCGGCCUGAGAGGGUGACCGGCCACAUUGGGACUGAGAUACGGCCCAGACUCCUACGGGAGGCAGCAGUGGGGAAUAUUGCACAAUGGGCGGAAGCCUGAUGCAGCAACGCCGCGUGCGGGAUGACGGCCUUCGGGUUGUAAACCGCUUUCGCCUGUGACGAAGCGUGAGUGACGGUAAUGGGUAAAGAAGCACCGGCUAACUACGUG
rnacentral:rRNA from 1 species